AGCAGCCGCGGUAAUUCCAGCUCCAAUAGCGUAUAUUAAAGUUGUUGCAGUUAAAAAGCUCGUAGUUGAAUUUCGGGGUUAGUAGGUUGGUCAUGCCUCUGGUAUGUACUGGUCUCACUGAUUCCUCCUUCCUGAUGAACCUUAAUGCCAUUAAUUUGGUGUUUUGGGGAAUUUGGACUGUUACUUUGAAAAAAUUAGAGUGUUUAAAGCAAGCUAACGCUUGAAUACAUUAGCAUGGAAUAAUGAAAUAGGACGUUCGAUCCUAUUUUGUUGGUUUCUAGGAUUGACGUAAUGAUUAAUAGGGAUAGUUGGGGGCAUUAGUAUUCAAUUGUCAGAGGUGAAAUUCUUGGAUUUAUUGAAGACUAACUACUGCGAAAGCAUUUGCCAAGGAUGUUUUCAUUAAUCAAGAACGAAAGUUAGGGGAUCGAAGACGAUCAGAUACCGUCGUAGUCUUAACCAUAAACUAUGCCGACUAGGGAUCGGAUGAUGCUAAUUUUUUAAUGACUCA
rnacentral:rRNA from 1 species